UUUUCUUUCUUUUUCUCUUCUGUUUUUCCGUCUUUUUGUUCUACUUCACAAAUUCACAAAUCUACUUGUUAUUUAUUUAUUUUUAGCAAAGUAAAAUUUCUGUUUUGUAGAUAAAAUAUUUUCUUAUCCUCUGUGAUGGUUAAUGCUGAGUGUCAACUUGAUUGGAUUGAAGGAUACAAAGUAUUGAUCCUGGGCGUGUCUGUGAGGAUGUUGCCAAAGGAGAUUAACAUUUGAGUCAGUGGGCUGGGCAAGGCAGACCCGCUAUUAAUCUGAGUGGGCACAAUCUAAUAGCUGCCAGUGUGGCUAGAGUAUAAGCAGGCAGAAAAAUGUGAAAAGAGAGACUGGCCUCGCCUCCCAGCCUACAUCUUUCUCCUGUGCUGGAUGCUUCCUGCCCUCCAAAGUUGGACUUCAAGUUCUUCAGUUUUGGAACUCGGACUGGCUCUCCUUGCUCCUCAGCCUGCUGAGGGACUAUUGUGGGACCUUGUGAUCAUGAAAUCAUAAGGAAACUAGGAAGAUCUGGAGAGAAAAUACUCUGGAUAUCAAUCUUGUUUUUGAGAUUUAAAAACCACCUAGUGCAGACAUGCAGCUGAUGGCCAAUGAAGAGGCAUCAUUGUAAAAGAGGCUCAGCUGAUCCCAGUUUUACUUACCUGGUCUCCAACAAAGGACUAGGAAAUAUGCACACAGGACCUCCGUAUCCAUCUGAACUCUUUUUGAUUGUCAAAAACUAAAAUAUAACCACUACUGGCUUAGACAGAGAGGUAUUUAUUGGCUCGUGGAUUGCAAGGGAGAAUUUAUUGAAGAACUAAGCCCCAGAAAGAGAGGAGACCCAGCUGGACUUUGGGCACUGACCACACCACGGAUCUCAGAUACUGCCAUCCCUCUCUGCUCCUGUGUCAUCUCCACUUUCUCCUGAGAAUGGCUGCCCACUGCUCCUGGCUUUCAUGUCAGUCUCACGUCUUCUGCUGCUAGAUAUCAGAGAGGGUCUGGCUCUGAUUUUCGGUUCCAAUGUGAAAAAUCCCAGAGAAGGAUUCUGAUUGAUCAGGCUUGGAUUGAAUGUCAAACCCUGGACCAAUCAACUGUGUUUAGUGGGGGGCUGGGCAGGGCCAAAGCCGAGGAAGAACAUGGCUGCUGUAUUAGUCUGUUAUCAGGCUGCUAAUAAAGACAUACCUGAGACUUGGUAAUUUAUAAAGGAAAGAAGUUUAAUGGGCUCACAGUUCCACAUGGCUGGGGGUGUCUCACAAUCAGGGAGGAAGAUGAAGGAAGAGCAAAGGGACUUCUUACAUGAUGGUGGGCAAGAGAGAGCUUGUGCAGGGGAACUCCCAUUUAUAAAACCACCAGAUCUCCUGAGACUUAUUCACUUCCAUGAGAACAGCACGGGAAAGACCCACCCUGAUGACUCAAUUACCUCCCACCAGGUCCCUCCCAUGACACAUGGGAAUUAUGGGAGCUGCACUUCAAGAUGGGGCUUGGGUAGGGUCACAGCCAAACCAUAUCAGCUGCCUUCUCUCAAGCCACAGGAUGCUGUUCUGCAGAGAAGGUGGUGGUGGGGCCUGGUGAUCAGACCGAACCAGAGACCACCUCUGGGUAAGCUUGUGGAAUUGCAAAGCUUGUUUGCACAGCUCAGACCUGUGCUUCUCUAUUUACUAGCCAUUUUACCUUGAAAACAAUUCCAACUCCUCUAAGCUUCGGCUCCUCCGUCUGUAAAGGUGGUAAUAGAAAUACUUAUUUUGUAAGAUGUUAGGAGGAUUGUGGGCAAUAACAGGUGAAAAUAUCUAGUGCAGAAGAAGGGAUCAAGAAAUCUGUGCUUCUGUCUUUCCCUAGUGGCCAAUUUUUCUCCUGGAUUUUUGCUUAAGAAGCAGAUUUCUCAGCUCAUGAUUGAAAUCCUUCUCUUAUUAUUUCUUCCUGUUGAUUGGAAAGAAGCAAAACUAGUUCCCUGCUAUAAUUACUUAUAAGACUGGUUUUAAAACAUACUGGGUUAAUGAUAAUUGGAGAACACCUAGGACAUCAAAAAAUAUGUAGGUCAUGCUAUUAGUGACUGCUGGAGUUCCUGAAAUAAACACGAUGGAAACUGUCUGGGGAAACCACAUUAUGCAAAAUGCUAAAAUGAAUGGGGAGGUGAUGGUAAAGGGAGGCACUGGCUGCUUCUGAGUGAACUGCCUGGGGAGGGUGGCAUCAGAUCACGGGGCACAAGAACAGCAGGACUCAGCAUGGACCAGGG
rnacentral:lncRNA from 1 species